UAGGGAAUCUUCCGCAAUGGACGCAAGUCUGACGGAGCAACGCCGCGUGAGUGAAGAAGGAUUUCGGUUCGUAAAACUCUGUUGUUAGAGAAGAACAGCGCAUAGAGUAACUGUUAUGCGUGUGACGGUAUCUAACCAGAAAGCCACGGCUAACUACGUGCCAGCAGCCGCGGUAAUACGUAGGUGGCAAGCGUUGUCUGGAUUUAUUGGGCGUAAAGCGAGCGCAGGCGGUCAAUUAAGUCUGAUGUGAAAGCCCCCGGCUCAACCGGGGAUGGUCAUUGGAAACGGGUUGACUUGAGUGCGGAAGUGGAGAGUGGACUUCCAUGUGUAGCGGUGAAAUGCGUAGAUAUAUGGAGGAACACCAGUGGCGAAGGCGACUCUCUGGUCUGUGACUGACGCUGAGGCUCGAAAGCGUGGGUAGCAAACAGG
rnacentral:rRNA from 1 species